rnacentral:misc_RNA from 1 species
GUGAAUCAUCAAAUCUUUGAACGCAAAUCGCACUUUCUGGCAUUCCGGAAAGUAUGCCUGUUUGAGGGUCAGUUAAAUCAAAAUCGGCGGUGUUGCUGCCUUUUGUGGUGAUGCGGCGGAUUUGAGUUGUUUUACUUUCGGGUAAGUGACUCAAAAAUUUGCAUGAUUUUCGAACGUAUUUAAAUUGCUUACGUAUUUUUGUGAUAUCGCUUACUUUAUUAGGAUCGUC